AGUAAGUCGUGUAAGGUUUACGUGGAAACUGGGGUCAUGGCUGCUCCCGGCCCAGCGCUCUGCCUCUUCGACGUGGACGGGGCUCUGACCGCUCCCAGGCAGAAAAUUACCGAAGACAUGGAUUGCUUUCUACAAGAACUGAGGCAGAAGAUCAAAAUUGGCGUCGUGGGCGGGUCGGACUUUGAGAAAGUACAAGAGCAACUGGGAAACGACGUGGUUGAAAAAUACGAUUACGUGUUUCCAGAAAAUGGCUUGGUAGCAUACAAAGAUGGGAAACUCGUGUCUAAACAGAAUAUUCAAGGUCACCUGGGUGAGGCCCUGAUUCAAGAUUUAAUCAACUACUGUCUGAGCUACAUUGCGAAAAUUAAGCUCCCAAAGAAGAGGGGUACCUUCAUUGAAUUCCGAAACGGGAUGUUGAACGUGUCUCCCAUCGGAAGGAGCUGCAGCCAAGAAGAACGCAUUGAGUUCUACGAACUUGACAAAAAAGAAAAUAUCAGACAAAAAUUCGUGGAGGAUCUGCGGCAAGAGUUUGCAGGGAAAGGCCUCACAUUUUCCAUAGGAGGCCAGAUCAGCUUUGAUGUCUUCCCCGACGGCUGGGACAAGAGGUACUGCCUGGGGCACGUGGAGAAGGACGGCUAUAAGACCAUUUAUUUCUUUGGAGACAAAACUAUGCCUGGGGCAGACCGUCCCCCCCCCAGGAGCUGAGUCCGGCUGCCGUGCUCUAGGGGCAGGGGGGCCACCCCCCCCCCAAACCGUGCCGGCCUGCAAGCCCUCACUGCAGCCCCUGCUCUUCCUGAGCAGAAGGGAGAAGGAAAGCCUUGUCUAAACUCAAAAUAGAUUAAAGACUGAAGUGUGAGACCUGCAGCCACGUAACUCCCGGGAGAAAGGCGCGGCGGCACCGUCUCUGACAUCCCCUGAGCAAUGACCUCUCUGGACCUGUCUCCCGCGGCAUGGGGAACAAAGGCCAGAAUAAACAAGUGGCACUGCAUCCAACUGAAACUCUUCUGCACAGCAAAGGAAACCAUCAACAAAAUGGAAAGGCGACAUGCUGAAUGGGAGAAGGUACGGGCAGGUCGCAAAGCCGACAAGGAGUUCGUAUCCGCAAAAGACAGAGGAGGAUGCAGACAACCCACUAUCAGAAAAAGCAGCCCAAGUAAAAGAUGGGCACAGGACCUCACAGGUACUUCUCCAAGGAAGACGUACACAUGGCCGGCAGGUAGACAGCGGCCUCAGGGAAGCGAGCGUCAGAACCACGGCAAGGGAGCGCCUCGCACCUGUCCGAACGGCAGUCGCCACCAAGACGUCCAGCGACAAGAACUGGCAACGCUGUGGGGCGGCCCCUGCCUCCCCCGCUGAGGCGAAGCGAGCCCAGUACUGCCACUGCGGACCCUGCGUGGAGGUUCUUCAGAACAGUGGGCAUGAAACCACGGUACAGUCCAGGAAGAAGGAAAAACGCUUGUCAGGAGGGGUUCACGGGACCACCUCCACCAAGGGGUGUUUUGUGCCACCCAGCCCAGCCCUGGUCGGGGCACUCCGUCUACCCGGGGCGCAUGGUUUGCCAUCAUCCUACUGCAGACAGAACGCUGGGGCCCUCCCUGCUCCUGGGUCUUGCGGACAAUGUAACCACAUCCCCAACGGGACCCCCGGCAUCGCUACCAGAAAGGGGGCUUUGGUGAUGAGAAAGGACAGGACGCUUCACGACCUCCAACCCCAGGGCAGACGGUUCAAAACUUGUGGAAGUGAAGGAGUGCGGCAUUGCACCGGCCUGUGGUCAUCAGACGGACUCAGCCGAAUGACCGUGCCGCCUGCACGUGGCAGCAGCUGGCCGAGUGACCACCGCCCCAAGGACUUUGCACCCCACGGGCCCAGGAUGCAGGGGAGCCCUAUGUCCACCACACUGUGAAGAGCCCCAAGGGGUGGGUGGUAAGGGACCCAGCGUUCCUCCCCUGCCCAAGCCCGGGGUAGCACUGGGGGCAGCACACUACACCCCAGAAGCAGUUCCCAGGGCUGUUCGCCCUCCUUCUCAGGGAUCAGGAAAGGGCCUGAACUCCUCACAGACCAGGGGCUGCACUGUUUCUCUGCUGAUCUCUGAGCACAUCCACCCAGGCCUCCCUCACCCAGCCUUUGACCUGAGGGCUGGAAGCAGCCGGGUUGGACCUGCAGCUCUCCCUCUGCCCCCCGUGCGGUCCUCACGAAAGUGGAAGGCAGCCCUGGUCCAGAGCAGAGCCUUCCAAGAAAACGGUUCACAUGUCACUUCUCAGCAUCUGGAAACGUUGGGACCCACAGUCCUGCCACAGGCUGGUGCUGGGCCUCUGCUGGGGGCUGGCGGACCCGAAACCCAAUGGGGGGGCUCUGAUUACCCCACCUCCCCACCCCCUUCAUCACGGAGGAGCCUGUUCCCCACGCCUCCCCCGGCCCUGCCGGGCGUCCCUCAGGAUCAGCACAGGUGACAGCAAGAAGCAGGCUGUGAGGUCAGCCCCCGCGCCCUCCUCCCACCCCCUGACCACACACAGGGGAGAGGUUUCCCAGUGGCUCCCGGGACCCCCAUCCAGUGGCAUCUUUUCCUGGUUGAAUUUUACAAAUGAUACUGUAAUGACCUUCCAAAAUGACAAGGAGCAAAUUAAAGUGAUUCUGAGGUU
ensembl:lncRNA